rnacentral:rRNA from 1 species
AAAGUCGUAACAAGGUUUCCGUAGGUGAACCUGCGGAAGGAUCAUUAUUGAUUGUGAAUCGUUGCCUCCAGUGCUGGCUCUCGCAAGUGCACGGUUGGUGACUUUCAUCCAACACCCUGUGAACCWUUGGCCUCUUGCUAGCUUCGGCUGGCAGAGGAUUUUUACACACACUCGAAUGUAAUGAAAUUAUUGUCGUGCGCAAGCACUUAUGUACAACUUUCAACAACGGAUCUCUUGGCUCUCGCAUCGAUGAAGAACGCAGCGAAAUGCGAUAAGUAAUGUGAAUUGCAGAAUUCAGUGAAUCAUCGAAUCUUUGAACGCACCUUGCACCCUUUGGCAUUCCGAAGGGUAUGCUCGUUUGAGUGUCAUUGUACUCUCACACUUCUGAUCCUUUGGAUUUGGAGCGGUGGACUUGGGUGUUGCCACUUGACAGUGGCUCACCUCUAAUGCAUUAGUGCAACUCCUGGUUGGACCAUAGUACGGCGUGAUAAGUGUCUUCGCCGGCACCUCGUGAGAGGGUGGCCGAUCGAGAGCUCUGUGCUUUCAAACCGUCCUUGCAAGGACAAUGACUGACAACUUGACCUCAAAUCGAGUAGGACUACCCGCUGAACUUAAGCAUAUCAAUAAGCGGAGGAAAAGAAACUAACAAGGAUUC